rnacentral:rRNA from 1 species
UGAACGCUGGCGGUAUGCUUAACACAUGCAAGUCGAACGCGAAAGAGACCUUCGGGUCUUGAGUAGAGUGGCGGACGGGUGAGUAACGCGUAGGAACCUACCUGGUAGCGGGGGACAACCUGGUGAAAACCAGGCUAAUACCGCAUACGCCCCACGGGGGAAAGCAGGGGAUCUUCGGACCUUGCACUAUCAGAUGGGCCUGCGUCGGAUUAGCUGGUUGGUGAGGUAAUGGCUCACCAAGGCGACGAUCCGUAGCUGGUUUGAGAGAAUGAUCAGCCACACUGGGACUGAGACACGGCCCAGACUCCUACGGGAGGCAGCAGUGGGGAAUAUUGGACAAUGGGGGCAACCCUGAUCCAGCAAUACCGCGUGUGUGAAGAAGGCCCGAGGGUUGUAAAGCACUUUCAAUUGUGAAGAAAAGCUCAAGGUUAAUAGCUUUGGGUCUUGACGUUAACUUUAGAAGAAGCACCGGCUAACUCC